AUUCUAGAGUUUGAUCAUGGCUCAGGACGAACGCUGGCGGCGUGCCUAAUACAUGCAAGUCGAGCGGACAGAAGGGAGCUUGCUCCCGGAUGUUAGCGGCGGACGGGUGAGUAACACGUGGGUAACCUGCCUGUAAGACUGGGAUAACUCCGGGAAACCGGAGCUAAUACCGGAUAGUUCCUUGAACCGCAUGGUUCAAGGAUGAAAGACGGUUUCGGCUGUCACUUACAGAUGGACCCGCGGCGCAUUAGCUAGUUGGUGGGGUAAUGGCUCACCAAGGCGACGAUGCGUAGCCGACCUGAGAGGGUGAUCGGCCACACUGGGACUGAGACACGGCCCAGACUCCUACGGGAGGCAGCAGUAGGGAAUCUUCCGCAAUGGACGAAAGUCUGACGGAGCAACGCCGCGUGAGUGAUGAAGGUUUUCGGAUCGUAAAGCUCUGUUGUUAGGGAAGAACAAGUGCGAGAGUAACUGCUCGCACCUUGACGGUACCUAACCAGAAAGCCACGGCUAACUACGUGCCAGCAGCCGCGGUAAUACGUAGGUGGCAAGCGUUGUCCGGAAUUAUUGGGCGUAAAGGGCUCGCAGGCGGUUUCUUAAGUCUGAUGUGAAAGCCCCCGGCUCAACCGGGGAGGGUCAUUGGAAACUGGGAGACUUGAGUGCAGAAGAGGAGAGUGGAAUUCCACGUGUAGCGGUGAAAUGCGUAGAGAUGUGGAGGAACACCAGUGGCGAAAGCGACUCUCUGGUCUGUAACUGACGCUGAGGAGCGAAAGCGUGGGGAGCGAACAGGAUUAGAUACCCUGGUAGUCCACGCCGUAAACGAUGAGUGCUAAGUGUUAGGGGGUUUCCGCCCCUUAGUGCUGCAGCUAACGCAUUAAGCACUCCGCCUGGGGAGUACGGUCGCAAGACUGAAACUCAAAGGAAUUGACGGGGGCCCGCACAAGCGGUGGAGCAUGUGGUUUAAUUCGAAGCAACGCGAAGAACCUUACCAGGUCUUGACAUCCUCUGACAACCCUAGAGAUAGGGCUUUCCCUUCGGGGACAGAGUGACAGGUGGUGCAUGGUUGUCGUCAGCUCGUGUCGUGAGAUGUUGGGUUAAGUCCCGCAACGAGCGCAACCCUUGAUCUUAGUUGCCAGCAUUCAGUUGGCACUCUAAGGUGACUGCCGGUGACAAACCGGAGGAAGGUGGGGAUGACGUCAAAUCAUCAUGCCCCUUAUGACCUGGGCUACACACGUGCUACAAUGGACAGAACAAAGGGCUGCAAGACCGCAAGGUUUAGCCAAUCCCAUAAAUCUGUUCUCAGUUCGGAUCGCAGUCUGCAACUCGACUGCGUGAAGCUGGAAUCGCUAGUAAUCGCGGAUCAGCAUGCCGCGGUGAAUACGUUCCCGGGCCUUGUACACACCGCCCGUCACACGGUACCAU
rnacentral:rRNA from 1 species